UUCAGAAUUUCUGUGUGGGCAUGCAUCAGCCAAAGGUGUGUGAGUCUUUUCUGGGUCAUGGUGCUGCGUACCCAUGUCUUCAAAAGACGCAAGGCGGAGAAAGUGCGCUCGGAUGAGGCCACGGAGAUGGGUAGGCACAGACAGUAAUGAAAUUAAAAUCCAAAAUACACUUAAUAACCUACGUGUGUCAAAAAUAAUUUCCCAAAAUAUUCAUAAGUAAUAUAUCAAUUGUGCAAAAUAUUUUUACUUAAAGAGCACCUAUUAUGGGAUACACGUUUUUAAACAUCAUUUUGUGUGUAAGUGUGUAUUAGUACAUGCUAACGAUAUUCAAAAAGUACAUACCUCAAAGAAAACGAUGACGCGAGUUAUCGUCUCUAACGUUCGAGGACUACAAAAAACACUCGGAUUGUAGGCAACAGUUUACUUCCUGGGAUUAGUGACGUAGAUAAGACCAACAUUAUCAUAGUUCAGCCCUCUCUGCUUUGCUUGGGUACGCCCUCAAAGACGGGGGUGGGGAGCGCCGAGUCAGAGGAGAGCUAAAAUGGCGGAGGUUGUGAGUCCCUGCUUUGACCCUGUUUGCAAACUCAUUGUUUCAUUGUUUAAGCGAUUAAAUCUCUCGAGUAGACGCUGUCUCUUUAGAUGCUAGGGCAAAAUAGCACUUUAUGGACUUCCACAGAGGACAUCAUGUUUAAUACGGUUCCGGAAAAAUCCAGUCAGAAGUUGUUCACGGAGUUUUCACAAUAACUGCUUCUCAUGAACCGAAGCUGGACGUCUCCUUCUGAAAGUUGGAUUACUGUGCACUUCUGGAUCACAGGCUAUUCGCAGCUGGACACAUCCUUCUACACUGUAUGCAAACAUGCAACAUCAUAACACACAGUACAAGGAGUCAGACUGGCAUAUGAGGAGCAAAGGAACCCAGACAGUAGCAUCGUUUCACAAUGUUUCCAUCACCAUCAGUGGAUGCCUUUGCCGUCCGUAGCCUGAGAUUUCAGAUUUGCAGCAAAAAAAUUUGAUUUUCUCAUUUAUUGGAAUGCUAUGCAGGUUGUACCUUGCAGCCAUCCAUUACAAUGUCACCAAGCCGUAACAAAAGCAGGAGAGGGAAAGUACAAGCCUAUGUUCCCAAAACACACAAAUGACAUACCUUAUGUGGAGGAUGUGAUCAGGCUUGUGUUUGCUGAGGUAUUUGAAGAUAAGCUGAAGGAAACCCCGAUUCCAAUGGACCUGGCAUCACAGUUUGAGAAACCUUCAAAGGAGGACGUGAUUGCAUGCCAUCUUCA